rnacentral:ncRNA from 1 species
UAUAUUUGCCCCUCUGUUUAUAACAGAUGUAAUUUGUACAUAAUAAUUAUUUAAAAAAUGUUUGCAUG